rnacentral:rRNA from 1 species
CCUACGGGUGGCUGCAGUGAGGAAUAUUGGUCAAUGGCCGGAAGGCUGAACCAGCCAAGCCGCGUGCAGGACGAAGGUGCCAAGCAUUGUAAACUUCUUUUGUCCAGGGAUAAAAUCAGGCUCGAGAGCCUGACCGUGGGUACUUGAAGAAAAAGCAUCGGCUAACUCCGUGCCAGCAGCCGCGGUAAUACGGAGGAUGCGAGCGUUAUCCGGUUUUAUGGGGUUUAAAGGGUGCGUAGGCGGGCUGUUAAGCCGGCGGUAAAAGCCCGGGGCUCAACCCCGGCGAGCCGUGGAAACUGGCUGGCUUGAGAGGGCGGGAGGUAUGCGGAAUGCGCAGUGUAGCGGUGAAAUGCUUAGAUAUUGCGCAGAACUCCGAUUGCGAAGGCAGCAUACCGGCGGGGAUCUGACGCUGAGGCACGAAAGCGUGGGUAUCGAACAGGAUUAGAUACCCGUGUAGUC